AGAGUUUGAUCCUGGCUCAGGAUGAACGCUGGCGGCGUGCCUAAUACAUGCAAGUCGAACGCGCAGCGAAAGGUGCUUGCACCUUUCAAGCGAGUGGCGAACGGGUGAGUAACACGUGGAUAACCUGCCUCAAGGCUGGGGAUAACAUUUGGAAACAGAUGCUAAUACCGAAUAAAACUUAGUAUCGCAUGAUACAAAGUUGAAAGGCGCUACGGCGUCACCUAGAGAUGGGUCCGCGGUGCAUUAGUUAGUUGGUGGGGUAAAGGCCUACCAAGACAAUGAUGCAUAGCCGAGUUGAGAGACUGAUCGGCCACAUUGGGACUGAGACACGGCCCAAACUCCUACGGGAGGCUGCAGUAGGGAAUCUUCCACAAUGGGCGAAAGCCUGAUGGAGCAACGCCGCGUGUGUGAUGAAGGCUUUAGGGUCGUAAAGCACUGUUGUAUGGGAAGAAAUGCUAGAAUAGGGAAUGAUUCUAGUUCGACGGUACCAUACCAGAAAGGGACGGCUAAAUACGUGCCAGCAGCCGCGGUAAUACGUAUGUCCCGAGCGUUAUCCGGAUUUAUUGGGCGUAAAGCGAGCGCAGACGGUUGAUUAAGUCUGAUGUGAAAGCCCGGAGCUCAACUCCGGAAUGGCAUUGGAAACUGGUUAACUUGAGUGUUGUAGAGGUAAGUGGAACUCCAUGUGUAGCGGUGGAAUGCGUAGAUAUAUGGAAGAACACCAGUGGCGAAGGCGGCUUACUGGACAACAACUGACGUUGAGGCUCGAAAGUGUGGGUAGCAAACAGGAUUAGAUACCCUGGUAGUCCACACC
rnacentral:rRNA from 1 species